CAUCACUUUCAGCUUCCUCAGCAAGGCACUUGAUCAUCUUGGAGAUCCCCAAUCCUGACAAUCAUGAUCCUGACAUCACCACCACCAUGCUUGCUUGCAGGCAGGACACACUUGUUUUCUUGGAAUUCAUAUGUCUCCCUUUUGUGGACAGCAGCUCUCCCGUUCUGGCAGCACUCAUGCACCAUGCUUGACUGAAUGAAAAGCGGCAAAAUGCUCCAAAGGUCCGUCUUGGAGUGACAACAUAAUUUAGUCCCUGCUCCUGUUCCAGUAUAAAGGCUGUUGUUAUGAUGUAUCCUUGCAAAGUGGAUGUAAACAGGAAGUUGCUCCCUAUUGGUCUCGUCUCCUGAUGGCAAAUGUCAAUCAUAAACACUGCCCUUCAAUAUCGGCAAUAAACUAUUGCCACAAUUUGACAAUCAUGACGAAAUAAGCAAGUCGCAAUGCUCUUCAUCGGAAUAACGUGUGUUCAGAGUAAUGGCAGUAUAUAAUACCGGCGUUACUAAGGUCGUCAC